GAUGAACGCUGGCGGCGUGCCUAAUACAUGCAAGUCGAGCGAACAGAUGAGGAGCUUGCUCCUCUGACGUUAGCGGCGGACGGGUGAGUAACACGUGGAUAACCUCCCUAUAAUACUGGGGUAACUUCGGGAAACCGGAGCUAAUACCGGAUAAUAUAUUGAACCGCAUGGUUCAAUAGUGAAAGACGGUUUUGCUGUCACUUAUAGAUGGAUCCGCGCCGCAUUAGCUAGUUGGUAAGGUAACGGCGUACCAAGGCAACAAUGCGUAGACGACCUGAGAGGGUGAGAGGGCACACGGGAACUGAGACACGGUCCAGACGCCUAGGGGAGGCAGCGGUAGGGAAUCUUCCACAAUGGGCGAAAGCCUGACGGAGCAACGCCGCGUGAGUGAGGAAGGUCUGCGGAUCGUAAAACUCUGUUAUUAGGGAAGAACAAAUGUGUAAGUAACUAUGCACGUCUUGACGGUACCUAAUCAGAAAGCCACGGCUAACUACGUG
rnacentral:rRNA from 1 species